rnacentral:rRNA from 1 species
UACAGAGGUCUCGAGCGUUGUUCGGAUUCAUUGGGCGUAAAGGGCGCGUAGGCGGUGCGGUAAGUCACCUGUGAAAUCUCCUGGCUCAACUGGGAGCUUGCAGGCGAAACUGCCGUGCUGGAGUGUGGGAGAGGUGCGUGGAAUUCCUGGUGUAGCGGUGAAAUGCGUAGAUAUCAGGAGGAACACCUGUGGCGAAAGCGGCGCACUGGACCACAACUGACGCUGAGGCGCGAAAGCUAGGGGAGCAAACAGG